rnacentral:rRNA from 1 species
AGCUGUGGAAGCACAUUUCUUGUGUGACCGCGUACUUUUUGUAGAACGGGCCAACGAGUUACGUUAAGUAGCAAGGUUAAGCACUUAAGGUGCGGAGCCGUAGCGAAAGCGAGUUUUAACUGAGCGUUCAGUUACUUGACGUAGACCCGAAACCGGGCGACCUACCCAUGAGCAGGAUGAAGCGAAAGUAAAAUUUCGUGGAGGUCCGAACCCACGAGCGUUGAAAAGCUCGGGGAUGACUUGUGGGUAGCGGUGAAAUUCCAAUCGAGCCCGGAGAUAGCUGGUUCUCCCCGAAAUAGCUUUAGGGCUAGCCUCAAGGUGAGAGAUACGGAGGUAGAGCACUGAAUGUCCUAGGGGGUAUUGCACCUACCGAAGACUAUCAAACUCCGAAUGCCGUCAUCUUAUACUUGGGAGUCAGACUGUGGGUGAUAAGAUUCAUAGUCGAAAGGGCAACAGCCCAGAUCGUCAGCUAAGGUCCCUAAAUGUAAGUUAAGUGGUAAAGGAUGUGGGAUUGCACAGACAACCAGGAUGUUGGCUUAGAAGCAGCCACUCAUUCAAAGAGUGCGUAAUAGCUCACUGGUCGAGUGAUCCUGCGCCGAAGAUUUCCGGGGCUAAAACUUACUACCGAAGCUACGGCAUCAGUAAUGAUGGGUAGGGGAGCUUCCCAUACGGGUUGAAGCAUGACCGUAAGGACAUGUGGACAGUAUGGGAGUGAGAAUGUUGGCAUGAGUAGCGAGAUGUGGGUGAGAAUCCCACAGGCCGUAAACCCAAGGUUUCCAGGGGAAGGUUCGUCCGCCCUGGGUUAGUCGGGACCUAAGCUGAGGCCGAAAGGCGUAGGUGAUGGACAACAGGUUGAUAUUCCUGUACUACCGAUAACCGUUUGAGAGAAGGGAUGACACAGUAGGAUAAGCUAAGCACACUGUUGGUUAUGUGUGCCCAAGCAUUGAGGCAGUCAAAGUAGGCAAAUCCGCUUUGAUAAUGCUGGGAUGUGAUGGGGAGCGAAAUUUAGUAGCGAAGUAGCUGAUUUCACACUGUCAAGAAAAGUCUCUAUCGAGGUUAAAGGUACCCGUACCGCAAACCGACACAGGUGGGUGAGGAGAGUAUCCUAAGGCCAGCGAGAGAACUGUUGUUAAGGAACUCGGCAAAAUGACCCCGUAACUUAGGGAUAAGGGGUGCCACCAUCAGGUGGCCGCAGAGAAUAGGCCCAAGCGACUGUUUACCAAAAACAUAGGUUUCUGCUAAGUCGCAAGACGAUGUAUAGGAGCUGACGCCUGCCCGGUGCUGGAAGGUUAAGGGGAUCUGUUAGAGCAAUCGAAGCAGUGAACUUAAGCCCCAGUAAACGGCGGCCGUAACUAUAACGGUCCUAAGGUAGCGAAAUUCCUUGUCGGGUAAGUUCCGACCCGCACGAAAGGCGUAACGAUUUGGGCACUGUCUCAACAACAGACUCGGUGAAAUUGUAAUUCCGGUGAAGAUGCCGGAUACCUGCGACAGGACGGAAAGACCCCAUGGAGCUUUACUGUAGCUUGACAUUGGGUCUUGGUACUACAUGUACAGGAUAGGUGGGAGGCUUUGAAACCAGGACGCCAGUUUUGGCGGAGCCAUCCUUGGGAUACCACCCUUGUAGUACUGGGACUCUAACCAUAGGCCAUGAAUCUGGUCUUGGGACACUGUCAGGUGGGCAGUUUGACUGGGGCGGUCGCCUCCCAAAAGGUAACGGAGGCGCUCAAAGGUUCUCUCAGUACGGUCGGAAAUCGUACGUAGAGUGUAAAGGCAAAAGAGAGCUUGAUUGCAAGACAUACAGGUCGAGCAAGGAUGAAAAUCGGACUUAGUGAUCCGGUGGUUCUGCGUGGAAGGGCCAUCGCUCAACGGAUAAAAGCUACCCUGGGGAUAACAGGCUUAUCUCCCCCAAGAGUCCACAUCGACGGGGAGGUUUGGCACCUCGAUGUCGGCUCAUCACAUCCUGGGGCUGUAGUAGGUCCCAAGGGUUGGGCUGUUCGCCCAUUAAAGUGGUACGCGAGCUGGGUUCAGAACGUCGUGAGACAGUUCGGUCCCUAUCCGUCGCAGGCGUAGGAAAUUUGAGAAGACCUGUCCUUAGUACGAGAGGACCGGGAUGGACGUACCUCUGGUGUACCAGUUG